AUGCUCCAGAUUCCGUACCCAUCAGAUCUAAACAUUGGUCUGAGUGGCUAUAAAAGGAGGAAACAUAAAACAGAAAUGAACUAGGAUUCUUUUCUAGUUCCAACAGAA
rnacentral:snoRNA from 1 species